AUUGAACGCUGGCGGCAUGCCUUACACAUGCAAGUCGAACGGUAACGGGCCUUCGGGUGCCGACGAGUGGCGAACGGGUGGGUAAUACAUCGGAACGUGCCCGAUCGUGGGGGAUAACGAGGCGAAAGCUUUGCUAAUACCGCAUACGAUCUACGGAUGAAAGCAGGGGACCGCAAGGCCUUGCGCGGACGGAGCGGCCGAUGGCAGAUUAGGUAGUUGGUGGGAUAAAAGCUUACCAAGCCGACGAUCUGUAGCUGGUCUGAGAGGAUGAUCAGCCACACUGGAACUGAGAAACGGCCCAGACUCCUACGGGAGGCAGCAGGGGGGAAUUUUGACCAAUGGGCGCAAGCCUGAUCCAGCCAUGCCGCGUGCAGGAUGAAGGCCUUCGGGUUGUAAACUGCUUUGUACGGAACGAAAAGCCUUCUUUUAAUACAGGAGGGUCAUGACGGUACCGUAAGAAUAAGCACCGGCUAACUACGUG
rnacentral:rRNA from 1 species